GAUGAACGCUGGCGGCGUGCCUAAUACAUGCAAGUCGAGCGAACAGACGAGGAGCUUGCUCCUCUGACGUUAGCGGCGGACGGGUGAGUAACACGUGGAUAACCUACCUAUAAGACUGGGAUAACUUCGGGAAACCGGAGCUAAUACCGGAUAAUAUAUUGAACCGCAUGGUUCAAUAGUGAAAGACGGUUUUGCUGUCACUUAUAGAUAGAUCCGCGCCGCAUUAGCUAGUUGGUAAGGUAACGGCUUACCAAGGCAACGAUGCGUAGCCGACCUGAGAGGGUGAUCGGCCACACUGGAACUGAGACACGAUCCAGACUCCUACGGGAGGCAGCAGUAGGGAAUCUUCCGCAAUGGGCGAAAGCCUGACGGAGCAACGCCGCGUGAGUGAUGAAGGUCUUCGGAUCGUAAAACUCUGUUAUUAGGGAAGAACAAAUGUGUAAGUAACUAUGCACGUCUUGACGGUACCUAAUCAGAAAGCCACGGCUAACUACGUG
rnacentral:rRNA from 1 species